GAUAGUACUUCCCCAUAAUGCAGAUGUACAUCAUCAUGUGACAUUUGGUAUACGUCAUUUCAGCUGGUAACUUCAAAAAAUAUUUCACUCCCUCGUUUGCGGGUUCAGAUGACAUAUUUCUCGGCAUUACCAUCUGCUUAAAAUUGAUUCCGAAGAACUGGAAAAUUUAUAUAAGGAUUAGGCGACCAGUUACAUCUUUAAUGGCAAUGUCAAGCCCAAAAUGUGCCAACAUCUUAAUCUAUCCGAAUGGUUUUCUUUUGUCUUAUUUAAGUAACAGCAUAUUCCUUCAAUAAUUUUCUGUAUAUGGUAAGAAGUGUUAGAAAAAAUCAAAGUUGAAAUAUCAAGGGCCAAUUUCAGGUUACAUAACUAGAUUUAAAGAUGUUCAGGAUGCAUCUACAAUGAUGUAAUGUUACGAAUCUGAUCAUUCAAAUUAAAAUCUAGAUUUGUAAACUGAAUGACCUGUGUGUUUUAACAUUGAAUAGCUGAUACCGAUGAUUCACUAAUGAUAUUUUGAUUUUCAGCUUGGACAGCAGUUAGGAUACAUAUAUUUAUUUUGUAUACCAAGUUAUCAUUGAAUAGAUCCUAAUGUUGCAAAUUGCAUUCUCUGCUCAUAUUGAUCGACGCAUUAUAGAAUAUAUGUAUUGUAACAUUACAAAAUUGAUGAUGACUUGGGUAAAUUGAUCAUUUUUACAGCACGGAAUCAUUGUAUUUUUUUCAGCCAAAAUAAGCAGCUCAUUACUAUAAAAUACUUCGAUGAAAAAUCGAAAAAAAAUGUAGUAUUUAAUUAUCGUAUUUGAUUGAUAUUAUAACUGGUUUGUUUGGUGUAUUUUGAUGAAGUUUUUUUUUCCUUGUGGCGUAUGAAACUCUCAAAUUUCGAUAAGGAGCAAGCGUAAUCGACUAUGUACAGCAAACAAGCCAGAAGAAAUGUUUACUUAAAUCAGAAUAUGUAAAUAAUUCAAAAUCAAACCUUUUAUCAGCUGUGGCACUCUCAUAUUAUUCA